CAGUAUCAUAUCCUUGUAAAGAAGAAAGUUCGGCUAUAGUAGACACAGUCGUGGAUAGUAAUUCUUGAUCAUCUAAACUCAUUCCACUUAACUGAGACAACUCGAAGAAACAUUGGAAAAUCCGAGCAAGCAAGAGAGAGCGAAGUUCCAAGUGAGAAUAAUCUGAAGCGGGAAUUGGCAUGGUAAUUUCAAGCCUUUUG